rnacentral:rRNA from 1 species
UACGGGGGGGGCAAGCGUUGUUCGGAAUUACUGGGCGUAAAGCGCGCGCAGGCGGUCCUUUAAGUCUGCUGUGAAAGCCCACGGCUCGACCGUGGAGGGUCAUCGGAAACUGGGGGACUUGAGUGCAGGAGAGAAGAGUGGAAUUCCACGUGUAGCGGUGAAAUGCGUAGAGAUGUGGAGGAACACCGGUGGCGAAGGCGACUCUGUGGCCUGUAACUGACGCUGAGGCGCGAAAGCGUGGGGAGCAAACAGG